UACGUAGGUGGCAAGCGUUGUCCGGAUUUACUGGGCGUAAAGCGCACGUAGGCGGAUACUUAAGUCAGGGGUGAAAUCCCGGGGCUCAACCCCGGAACUGCCUUUGAUACUGGGUAUCUCGAGUCCGGAAGAGGUGAGUGGAAUUCCGAGUGUAGAGGUGAAAUUCGUAGAUAUUCGGAGGAACACCAGUGGCGAAGGCGGCUCACUGGUCCGGUACUGACGCUGAGGUGCGAAAGCGUGGGGAGCAAACAGG
rnacentral:rRNA from 1 species